rnacentral:lncRNA from 1 species
CAAUAUAUGAAAAUGAUGUGAAUGAAUUGAUUGAAAAUCUUGGCUUGGCUUUAGAGAAGUAACAUGUGAAAUUUCAUGAGAGCCAUUGAAAAAGAAAUUAGUGAAUACUAUGAGCUUUGGCAUGAGUGGCUUUGUUUGGAGUUUGUACGAGGACAUGGGAUGCUGAGCCUGAAGUUUGGAAAGCAUUGAUAGAGGUUUGUUUUCUUAUCAUUAUCUAGAUCAUGUUAUAUGUGUUUAUAAUUUGUUUCUUUUUUUCAUAUCAUCAGCAAAACCUGCAAUGAAAUGAUGGACGACACACCUAAGACUAACUAUGACAGGUUAUUGCAGCUAUUUGUGGAAGAUAGGCAGCAAGAUGAAUUGAUAAAACUUGAAACUGCAGAGAAGAAAGCAUGCUGAUGGGCUAGGCCAGAAAAUGUAGACCUUAUGGAUAACAUUGACAAUAUUGAUCAUCUGAUGUCUCAAAAUGAACUUAUUCUAGAGGCACUCAGUAAUACGACAAAUAAUACCACUCAACCAGCAAUUUCAUUUGAAGUAGAAUCUCAAGCACAGGGGCGGAG